CCUAGCCACACCUCCCCUGGCUAUGAUUGACAGAGCCUGCAUGAAAAAAAAAAACUAGUUUCACUUUCAAACAGAUGUAAUUUACCUUAAAUAAUUGUAUCUCAAUCUCUAAAUUGAACUUUAAUCACAUACAGGAGGCUCUUGCAGGGUCUAGCAAGCUAUUAACAUAGCAGGGGAUAAGAAAAUCUUAAUUAAACAGAACUUGCAAUAAAGAAAGC